GGGCUGCGGAGUGGCGGACGGGUGAGUAACACGUGGGGAACCUACCCAGCAGCGGGGGAUAACACUUGGAAACAGGUGCUAAUACCGCAUAGGACUUUUUUUCGCCUGAAAGGAAGUUAAAAGACGCUUUUUGCGUCACUGCUGGAGGGACCCGCGGUGCAUUAGCCAGUUGGUGAGGUAACGGCUCACCAAAGCAACGAUGCAUAGCCGACCUGAGAGGGUGAUCGGCCACACUGGGACUGAGACACGGCCCAGACUCCUACGGGAGGCAGCAGUAGGGAAUCUUCGGCAAUGGACGCAAGUCUGACCGAGCAACGCCGCGUGAGUGAAGAAGGUUUUCGGAUCGUAAAGCUCUGUUGUCAGCCAAGAACAGGAAAAAGAGGCAAUGCUUUUUCUUUGACGGUAGCUGACCAGAAAGCCACGGCUAACUACGUGCCAGCAGCCGCGGUAAUACGUAGGUGGCAAGCGUUGUCCGGAUUUAUUGGGCGUAAAGGGAGCGCAGGCGGUUCGUUAAGUCUGAUGUGAAAGCCCUCGGCUCAACCGAGGAGGGUCAUUGGAAACUGGCGAACUUGAGUGCAGAAGAGGAGAGUGGAAUUCCAUGUGUAGCGGUGAAAUGCGUAGAUAUAUGGA
rnacentral:rRNA from 1 species